rnacentral:lncRNA from 1 species
CAUGUGUUUCCUGAAAUUGCAUAUGCUUUAUGUUUAUAAUAGUAAAUACAUAUUUAAUCUCAUGCUUCAUGUGUUACCUAAAAUUGCAUAUGGUUUAUGUUACUUGAAACAUCCUUUAACAUAUUAACAAAGUAAAGUGAGGAACCAAAAAAUUGUAUUGCAGGAAACAAAAUUCAGAAAACAUAUGUUGAGUUCAUGGUUCAGAGAUUAGCAUAAAUGUUUCUUUAGGUAUGGAUAUAAUGACAAAAUUCUUUUAAGUAUGGAUAAAAUGAAAAAAUUCAAAAACUGUUUGGAUUAUUUCCAAAUAAAUAUCUUUUUUCUUUAGC